rnacentral:rRNA from 1 species
AAAGCGAAGCAGUGAUNUGGAGCAAAACUCAAAAAAAUAAGUCUCAGUUCGGAUUGAAGGCUGAAAUUCGCCUUCAUGAAGCCGGAAUUGCUAGUAAUGGCAGGUCAGCAUACUGCCGUGAAUACGUUCCCGGGCCUUGUACACACCGCCCGUCACACCAUGAGAGUUGGGAAUACCCGAAGCCUGUGAGCUAACUUUUAGAGGCAGCAGUCGAAGGUAGAAUCAAUGAUUGGGGUGAAGUCGUAACAAGGUAAC